GAUGAACGCUGGCGGCGUGCCUAAUACAUGCAAGUCGAGCGAACAGACGAGGAGCUUGCUCCUCUGACGUUAGCGGCGGACGGGUGAGUAACACGUGGAUAACCUACCUAUAAGACUGGGAUAACUUCGGGAAACCGGAGCUAAUACCGGAUAAUAUAUUGAACCGCAUGGUUCAAUAGUGAAAGACGGUUUUGCUGUCACUUAUAGAUGGAUCCGCGCCGCAUUAGCUAGUUGGUAAGGUAACGGCUUACCAAGGCGACGAUGCGUAGUCGACCUGACAGGGGGAUCGGCCACACUGGAACUGAGACACGGUCCAGACUCCUACGGGAGGGAGCAGUAGGGAAUCUUCCGCAAUGGGCGAAAGCCUGACGGAGCAACGCCGCGUGAGUGAUGAAGGUCUUCGGAUCGUAAAACUCUGUUAUUAGGGAAGAACAAAUGUGUAAGUAACUAUGCACGUCUUGACGGUACCUAAUCAGAAAGCCACGGCUAACUACGUG
rnacentral:rRNA from 1 species